rnacentral:rRNA from 1 species
AUUCCAGGCCUGGCUACGGUCGGGUCCGGUUUGUGAGUCGGUUUCGUGGCUGUGUAGCCUUUCAGUCGUGUCUGUUUCGACAGGUGCCGAUGGUUUUAUCCGUUGGCAUGCUUCCAGAUGCCUUUAACCGGGUGUCGGGAGCGGACGGCUAGUUUACUUUGAACAAAUUUGAGUGCUCAAAGCAGGCUUAUGCCUGAAAAUUCUUGCAUGGAAUAAUGGAAUAGGACUUCGGUUCUAUUUUGUUGGCUUUCGGAUCCGAAGUAAUGGUUAAGAGGGACAGACGGGGGCAUUUGUAUGGCGGUGUUAGAGGUGAAAUUCUUGGAUCGCCGCCAGACAAACUACAGCGAAAGCAUUUGCCAAGGAUGUUUUCAUUGAUCUUGAGCGAAAGUCAGAGGUUCGAAGACGAUCAGAUACCGUCCUAGUUCUGACCAUAAACGAUGCCAACUGACGAUCCGUGGGUGUACUUUGAGUGACCCCACGGGCAGUCCCCGGGAAACCUUUAAGUCUUUGGGCUCCGGGGGAAGUAUGGUUGCAAAGCUGAAACUUAAAGGAAUUGACGGAAGGGCACCACCAGGAGUGGAGCCUGCGGCUUAAUUCGACCCAACACGGGAAAACUCACCCGGCCCGGACACUGUGAGGAUUGACAGAUUGAUAGCUCUUUCUUGAUUCGGUGGUUGGUGGUGCAUGGCCGUUCUUAGUUGGUGGAGCGAUUUGUCUGGUUAAUUCCGAUAACGAACGAGACUUUGGCCUGCUAAAUAGUAUGCCUGUCCUCUGUACUCGUGCGGGUAGCGGUGUUCGUCGCCUCUUCGGGGGUGGUGAUACUGUUGCCGGCGGGUGCUGCGCAGGUGUUUACUUCUUAGAGGGACAAGCGGAAUAAUCCGCACGAAAAUGAGCAAUAACAGGUCUGUGAUGCCCUUAGAUGUCCGGGGCCGCACGUGCGCUACAAUGACGGUUUCAGCGAGUAUGGAAUCCUGGCCCGAAAGGGUUGGGCAAACUGAAUCAUAACCGUCGUGACUGGGAUCGGGGCUUGCAAUUGUUCCCCGUGAACGAGGAAUUCCUGGUAAGUGCAAGUCAUAAGCUUGCGCUGAUUACGUCCCUGCCCUUUGUACACACCGCCCGUCGCUACUACCGAUUGAAUGGUUUAGCAAGGUUUUUGGAUCGGUGCCACUUUAGUUGCUUCGGCAGCUUGACCGGUGCUGAAAAG